rnacentral:lncRNA from 1 species
GAGACUGGACAUGCAACUUUCACCAUUUUUAAGAAUUUGAUAUUUGGUUAUGGCAAGAUUACUGGCUGCAGAUGACGAAGGUAACAGGGUGAAAGGUAGUGUACAUGUGGAGAAUAUCAAAGGAAGCGAAACGAGAUAGGUUGAACGAUGAAUCAUGAAUGCCAUUUGUGAAUGGAUGAUGUUUGACAAAGGUGGAAUAAGGGAUUCACCCAUCACAGAGGGAGAGACUCAACAAAUCACAUUUUUUCAGAUUUGGUUUUCAAGUCAAGUUAACUUUGUCAUUGUCCUAUUGCUGUGGACAAAUUGUGUCACUCCCAUCUGACAAGAGCAUAGUUUCUUUUGAGACAUCUUUUUUCAUUUUUUUUUCUUUCAAUCAUUGAGGUCUUUUGUUCUCUUCUUAUUUCUAACCUAGGUGAAAAUAACACAAGAGUAUUCAAGUGAAUUUAGCCAAGAAACCUCAGAAAAUGGUGAUUUAGAAGAAGGAGGACGACUUGGAGUAGCUAUAACAAAGCUUAACAGGUUAGUGGAGAGGGGUAUUGAAAAAUAUUCAACAGAAAAAAAAGCUACAUUUCAUAGGAAUUUUCAAUAUUUUAACCUUGAGGUUGAUAUAGAAAUUUGUAUGGAAAAGCAAGUAAUGCAACAUUGAAGUAAAAAGGAAAUGGUUGAUGAUUUUUCCUUUUACGAAAUUAGCUGUGAUUCCAAGUUAUUUAUACCAAUCGAUGACUGUAAUGGAUAAAGUAAGUAAUUUAUUGUGACUCUUGAAAAUUAAUGUUUGUGAAUUUUACCUUACAAAAUUACAGAUGAUUCUGAAUAAUAAAUGAAAUUUGAUAUGAAUUACUGCUUUAGAUUUGGAGCUGUGUUAGUAGAUUAUUAUUAUGAUGUUAUUUAAGCUCAGCUCUUCCUUUGAGCACAAAAUUGACGAGUGGUAAUUUAAGAAAAAAACAAAAUAAAAAGGCAUGGUGAUCUGAAUUCAAGAAAAUAGUGGAGAGAGAACCAAAAAAAACACAUUCUGGUGAAACAAUUAAUGAAAAUGGCACAGAGAAAAUGAGACUAUGGAGAACAUGUAACUAAUUUUACUUUAGAAGUUAUGUUAUGUUUGACUUUUGGUGUUAUUUUUAAGUAAGCAAUGCUUGGACUUAAAUUGAUGAGUCAAUAGAAGUUAUAGUUUUUAUAAACAACUUAUUUUGAGGAUGGAUAUGACUUUCAUUGUUUAAUUAAUAUUUUCCAUCUGAAUAAAUGCAAUUUAUGGCUGCUUUAUCUUUAAGACUUAAAACUAAGCUUGUUUCUUUGAUUUUAGCAAUUAUAAAUGCAGUACUUAAAACAUUCAGCUGUCUGCCCAUUCUCAUGAAAUCAAUUCUAGGACAGACACUGGAAAAGACUCUUUCAAAAUGCACAUACCACUUAUGGUAAUAGAUUUAUCAUACCUAAAACUAAAAAUUUUAUUCAUUUCAGUUGUUCUGUAUUAAACAGGAGUAUAAAAAUGAAUGAUUGAAAAGAUGUACUUUCAAAGAACAAGUACCACCAAAAUUUCUCUCUUGCAAACCUAACACAAAGACAAUGAAAUCACUCUGAACACCUAGACACCAACAGCAAGACAAAGAUACACUACAGCAACACAAGAAAUAAAAACCAAU